rfam:Capsicum annuum cultivar Zunla-1 chromosome 5, whole genome shotgun sequence
UUAUAAUGGUGAGGGAAAUUUCUGAGCAUACCCUUAAACCUUUCCCAAGCUUGGUAAAUAUUUUCUAUUUUUUUCUACCUGAAACUCAGAUUCUGGCUUCUCAAACA